GUCUCUGAGAAUGAGCAGCUCAGCUUGGCUCUUCUGGGAGUGGGUCUUCCUGCCACCCCACACCGUUGGGAUCACACUCCAGGUAUGGGAAGGGUGGCUUCUUUGGGAACACAGUCAGAUAUCUAGGUCCCCCUUCACCUGAAGGCACAGAGUGGAUACAGCUGUGAGCUACCUAGAGCAGCGUCCCUUUGGAGUUUGUCCUUCUAGAGUUGGAGCUCCCCUGGGGAAAGCCUUCCUUUUGCUGACUGGCCUUCAUAGCCACACCUGGUGGGGACAGAGCAUCGCUGAGAAUGAGCAGUGCUUGGUCCCUGAGCAGACAGCCCCUGCCAUGAGUGAACCUGUAUGAAAUUGCUGGAGCAAAGACCUCAGAAAGACUGUGGGAACCCUCAGAACCCCUGUGAGUGAGACAUGAGAGAUGUCCAUCCCCUUGCCCGGCAGCCCCAUUUUCUUUCCUUGUGCUGCUGUGGGAGAAAGGCCAAAGCAGAUAAGUGAUGGUGUUUUUCAGGGCGGGAGAAAGUAUGGGAACCCAAGGAAACCCUCUCAAGGGCCAAGCAUGUGCCUGGUUCCUUGGGUGGGCAGAUUCUUGGCCACCACAUCUGCUUCCUAUAAAAAGAUGCCAGGUGCUGACUAUCUGGCAUUCCAGGGUGGGCAGGGGCAGGCAGAUGAAUGAACACUUAUCGUCGCCUACCUCCUGUCAAGCUCCCUGUACCUGGUGCAGCCACCACUUAUCUUAUUUGACCUUAUCUCACCCACCAUGUAUCUCAGCAGCCCUGUGAGAUAGGCAGGUGAUAGUAUCCUUGUUUGUCUUUCAAGAACCUGAGGCUCUGAGAAACCAAGUAAGUCAUGUGUCCUAUCACACAUCUAGUUAGUUAGUAGCACUUAGGGUUCCAAUCCAGGUCCUCAGUCUCCAAGUCCACUGCUCCUUUCUCGAGUCACCAAGGGCCUUGGCCUUCUAAGGCCUGUGUGGGAAAGUGAGUGGCCAAGAGCAAGUCCACCCAAGGCCCUGCCUAUUCAGGGAAGAUCACCCAAUAAGAGCCCCUUUCUGCCGCCUCCUCUGAGAUGGGCUCAGGACACUUGGGGCAGACAGAGCAAAAGAAGCAAAGCAUUUUAUCCAUCCUGUCAUUUCUGGUCUCUACCCAGCUGCUCUGGACACAUCUGCCACACCAGUCUGAGGGCUUCUGAAGACUUACCUUGCCUGCUGUGUCCAAUGGCAGCUCUGUGACUAACCCAGGGCAGGCCACCAUAAGUGUGAUUAGUAAAUAAAUAAGUGAUCGGGC